CACUCACUGUGUGCCAGCAGCCGCGGUAAUACGUAGGGGGCAAGCGUUAUCCGGAAUUACUGGGUGUAAAGGGUGCGUAGGUGGUAUGGCAAGUCAGAAGUGAAAACCCAGGGCUUAACUCUGGGACUGCUUUUGAAACUGUCAGACUAGAGUGCAGGAGAGGUAAGCGGAAUUCCUAGUGUAGCGGUGAAAUGCGUAGAUAUUAGGAGGAACAUCAGUGGCGAAGGCGGCUUACUGGACUGAAACUGACACUGAGGCACGAAAGCGUGGGGAGCAAACAGG
rnacentral:rRNA from 1 species